UUUGUAGAUAUGCUCUUUCAGUAUUGAUUUGAAAUGAUAUAAAAUUUAUUCUUUAUAUCUUGAGGAGAUGGAUGAGAGAUGUGUAUAGAGCAUACACAAGGGUUAAUAUCAAUUACAAUGGUUGAGUUAGUACUCUUAAGCAGGUAAUAUACGAUCAAUUGCAAAGUUUAUUUACUAAGGUGGCAAAUUUGGUAAUAGAUGAUGAAGAAUGCACCCAUGAGUUCACGGAGUUGCUCAAAAAUCAACUGAACAAUCUGACCAUAUUGAUAUCGAGAAGAAGUUGUGGCAGUAAUCUCCUUUCCCAAAGCAGUGUUUAAAUCUCCUCUGAUUGUGGCGAAGCUGGAAGGACAUCAUCCAAUCCUAUUUUGGAUUUGUAAUGCACAAAAACAAAGAGAGCUCCUAGAAAACUUUGUCAAAAUGGGUCAUUGGAAAUGAGUACCAAUAAACGCAAGUCAAGCAAAGGAAAAUGCCCAAUGGAAAAUAAUGCACAACCUGGUCAAGCUCUAAUACAAGUAGCAAAAGAUGCACUAAAUCCCGUGCUAACCCCACUCACUUACUCAUAACAGUUGAUGGGUGCUAACUAUCAAGCUUAUGGAGUGAAUUGGAUACCGACUUAUGGACUAAGUCAACCAUUUAUGCCAACCUAUGUGCUACAAUGACGUCCCGAGGAAGAUGAGGUGGGGAUAGAGCUGAUGAACACCGAUUUGCUCAAAUAGAGGUUGCCUUGACCAAAUUCCAUCAAAAGAGAAAGGAAAGCGUCACAAAAGAUAUGAAGAUAGUGGCAGGUUGUGAGGAGGAUUGUAACAGUGGAGGUGGGAAGAGAUCUGAAAAUGGGUUAAUUGCAGCUGUGCUGAAAUGAUUGCCAUGAGGGAACAAAAACGAAACUAAAUUUAUUUUUUUAUUAGAAUAUUGUACGUUCUGAAAAAUAGUUGGUUAACUAUGUUAAAAUGAUUGUUACGAGGGAACA